rnacentral:rRNA from 1 species
GAACAUAAGAGUUUGACAAUCCUGGCUCAGAUUGAACGCUAUGCUUUACACAUGCAAGUCGAACGGCAGCGAGGUAGUGCUUGCACUACUGUCGGCGAGUGGCGAACGGGUGAGUAUAUAUUGGAACGUACCGAGUAAUGGGGAUAACUAUCCGAAAGGAUAGCUAUCACCGCAUACGACCUGAGGGUGAAAGUGGGGGAUCUUCGGACCUCGCGUUAUUCGAGCGGCCAAUAUCUGAUUAGGUAGUUGCGGGGUAAGAGCCUACCAAGCCGACGAUCAGUAGUGGGUCUUAGAGGAUGAUCCGCCACACUGGGACUGAGACACGGCCCAGACCUACGGGAGUGUUAGUGGGGAAUUUUGGACAAUGGGCGAAAGCCUGAUCCAGCCAUGCCGCGUGUCUGAAGAAGGCCUUCGGGUUGUAAGUUAGUUAAGCAAGAUGUGAAAUCCCCGAGCUCAACUUGGGAACUGCGUUUUGAACUGGCUAGCUAGAGUGUGUCGGGGAGGGGGGUGAAUUCCACGUGUAGCAGUGAAAUGCGUAGAUGUGGAGGAAUACCGAUGGCGAAGGCAGCCCCUGGGGAUAACACUGACGUCUCAUGCUCGAAAGCGUGGGUAGCAAACAGGAUUAGAUACCCCUAGUCCACGCCCUAAACGAUGUCAAUUAGCUGUUGGGCAACUUGAUUGCUUAGUAGCGUUAACGCGUGAAAUUGACCGCCUGUGGAGUACGGUCGCAAGAUUAAAACUCAAAGGACGGGGACCCGCACAAGCGGUGGAUGAUGUGGAUUUCAAUUCGAUGCAACGCGAAGAACCUUACCUGGUCUUGACAUGUACGGAAUCUCCCAGAGACGGGAGAGUGCCUUCGGGAACCGUAACACAGGUGCUGCAUGGCUGUCGUCAGUCUCGUGUCGUGAGAUGUUGGGUUAAGUCCCGCAACGAGCGCAACCCUUGUCAUUAGUUGCCAUCAUUAAGUUGGGCACUCUAAUGAGACUGCCGGUGACAAACCGGAGAAGGUGGGGGAUGACGUCAAGUCCUCAUGGCCCUUGGUGACCAGGGCCACACGUCAUACAAUGGUCGGUACAGAGGGUAGCCAAGCCGCGAGGUGGAGCCAAUCCCAGAAAACCGAUCGUAGUCCGGAUUGCCCUGCCGAGUGCAUGAAGUCGGAAUCGCUAGUAAUCGCAGGUCAGCAUACUGCGGUGAAUACGUUCCCAAGUCUUGUACACACCGCCCGUCACACCAUGGGAGCGGGGAUACCAGAAGUAGGUAGGAUAACCGUAAGGGGUCCGCUUACCACGUAUGCUUCGUGACUGGGGUGAAGUCGUAACAAGGUAGCCGUAGGGGAACCUGCGGCUGGAUCACCUCCUUU